ensembl:lncRNA
GUGACGGGAUCAUCACGCGAGAAGGGAGUACCUGCAGGAAGUAACGCGGAAUUUGUCCGGUCAGCGUGCUCGUGGACAGUCAUUGGUUACUGCCAAGGUGUUCUACUUUGCUGUCCGUUUGCAAGUGUUCUGUCCAGCUGGAUCUGUCUGAAGUCCAACUGCAUCAGUAACUACAGGACAAUGGGAUCGAUACCAGACGAGAAUGCAUUCUUAAGGGACUGUGUGUCUACCUUAACGAAGAUCCAGACAAGCUGGUGAAAGAAUACAAGAUAUGUUGAUUUACUUUACCUUUUUUAGGAAAUGAUCAGUAGGGAUUCCUUGUGGGUUUUUUGGGUGGCUUUUAAAGACCUUUGAAAUGUAAUGCUGGUCAUAAUUUGUUUUGAUUGUUUGAUAUGUGCUAAUUUCAGCUGUUUUAGAAUAAUGUUUUUUUUUUUUUAAUUAUGAGGAUGGAUGUAAUGAAUACCAGGCACAGGCAGAUGAUGAAAACACCGCGGCAGCCAUGGCAGAGACCGUCUAUGGCAUCUAUGUCAUUCGACACAGCAGUGCAGAGCCCAGUGAUGCCCCAGAGGAUGUGGGAGUCAUUCGGAGGGGGUGACGGUACUCAGUCCCUCUCUAUCUCCCGACACAUCCACCAACCACUGGAACACAUCUCCAAAGUUCUGCCGGG